rnacentral:rRNA from 1 species
CCUACGGGGGGCAGCAGUGGGGAAUAUUGCACAAUGGGGGAAACCCUGAUGAAGCAACGCGACAUGAGCGACGAAGGCCUUCGGGUCGUAAAGACCUGUCCUAAGGGAAGAAUACUGACGGUACCUUAGGAGGAAGCCCCGGCUAACUACGUGCCAGCAGCCGUGGUAAUACGUAGGGGGCUAGCGUUAUCCGGAAUUACUGGGCGGAAAGGGUGCGUAGGCGGUCCAGCAAGUCAGAGGUGAAAGGCUACGGCUCAACCGUAGUAAGCCUUUGAAACUGUCGGGCUUGAGUGCAGGAGAGGAGAGUGGAAUUCCCAGUGUAGCGGUGAAAUGCGUAGAUAUUGGGAGGAACACCAGUUGCGAAGGCGGCUCUCUGGACUGUAACUGACGCUGAGGCACGAAAGCGUGGGGCGCGAACAGGAUUAGAUACCCGAGUAGUC